ACUGAAUCUGAUAUAUGUUUCCUCAUUUUUGUAGGUUACAAUGGUCAUGGAGCUUCUUGGAUUAAACUUGCAAAGAGUAGUACUGGAAAGCUUCAUUUUCGUAAGAUGCUCUGGUAUUUCCGAGUAGAAGAAAGCAAAGCCAACAAGGGUCGUUAGAAAUUAUUAGUACUCUACAAAAUUUGUAACACAUCAUAUUAAUUGGGAACUCAAAUCUUGGUUGCAAAAAUUAGAUCUGUGCUAUAAAUGCAGGCAAUACAAAAGGUAGGAAGACCAUACGAAGACCAAUACAAAAAGGAGGAUGCAUGAGCUUCAGAUCUGAUUGAAUUUAGUCAGAAGAUGGAGACUUGAAGGAGGAAUUAGUGGAGAAUGGGAAGGUGGAUAGAACAUGGGAACAAAUCAAAUAUGUGUAGGUAUGAC
rnacentral:lncRNA from 1 species